rnacentral:rRNA from 1 species
GAUCAUGCUCAGGAUGAACGCUAGCUACAGGCUUAACACAUGCAAGUCGAGGGGCAGCAUUUUUCUAGCAAUAGAAGAGAUGGCGACCGGCGCACGGGUGAGUAACACGUAUCCAACCUACCGAUAACUCCGGAAUAGCCUUUCGAAAGAAAGAUUAAUACCGGAUAGUAUACGAAUAUCGCAUGAUAUUUUUAUUAAAGAAUUUCGGUUAUCGAUGGGGAUGCGUUCCAUUAGUUUGUUGGCGGGG